rnacentral:rRNA from 1 species
CAUGUAGGCGGAUUAAUAAGUUUGAAGUGAAAUCCUAUAGCUUAACUAUAGAACUGCUUUGAAAACUGUUAAUCUAGAAUGUGGGAGAGGUAGAUGGAAUUUCUGGUGUAGGGUAAAAUCCGUAGAGAUCAGAAGGAAUACCGACUGCGAAGGCGAUCUACUGGAACAUUAUUGACGCUGAGAUGCGAAAGCGUGGGGAGCAAACA